rnacentral:rRNA from 1 species
ACUCCUACGGGAGGCAGCGGUAGGGAAGUCUUCCACAAUGGGCGCAAGCCUAAUGGAGCAACACCGCGUGAGUGAAGAAGGGUUUCGGGUCUGGUAAAAGACUCUGUUGUUAAAAGAAAGAACACGUAUGAGAGUAACUGUUCAUACGUUGACGGUAUUUAACCAGAAAGUCACGGCUAACUACGUGCCAGCAGCCGCGGUAAUACGUAGGUGGCAAGCGUUAUCCGGAUUUAUUGGGGCGUAAAGAGAGUGCAGGCGGUUUUCUAAGUCUGAUGUGAAAGCCUUCGGCUUAACCGGAGAAGUGCAUCGGAAACUGGAUAACUUGAGUGCAGAAGAGGGUAGUGGAACUCCAUGUGUAGCGGUGGAAUGCGUAGAUAUAUGGAAGAACACCAGUGGCGAAGGCGGCUACCUGGUCUGCAACUGACGCUGAGACUCGAAAGCAUGGGUAGCGAACAGGAUUAGAUACCCUGGUAGGAUAGCG